rnacentral:lncRNA from 1 species
UAGGGUGUUCAAAUCAACGAUCCACACUGUUAAAACUGAUUUAGGGUAUUUAAAGUUUUUAGAAAUAAAAUUUUAUAUUUUUUCGACAAAGUUUAUUUUAUGAUCAAACUAUUUCAAAAUUGUCAAUUUUCAAUGGCUACUAUGGCGAGUUUGGAGUUUAACGGUGUAGAAGAAUCAAAAUUUCUUCAAAUUUUGAUAUAAAAUACUUUAAACUA